rnacentral:misc_RNA from 1 species
AACUUACCUACAACGUUGCCUCGGCGGGAACAGACGGCCCCGUAGAACGGGCCGCCCCCGCCAGAGGACCCCCUAACUCUGUUUCUAUAAUGUUUCUUCUGAGUAAACAAGCAAAUAAAUUAAAACUUUCAACAACGGAUCUCUUGGCUCUGGCAUCGAUGAAGAACGCAGCGAAAUGCGAUAAGUAAUGUGAAUUGCAGAAUUCAGUGAAUCAUCGAAUCUUUGAACGCACAUUGCGCCCGCCAGUAUUCUGGCGGGCAUGCCUGUUCGAGCGUCAUUACAACCCUCAGACCCCCGGGUCUGGCGUUGGGGAUCGGCGGAGAAACACGCCGUCCCCCAAAUACAGUGGCGGUCACGCCGCAGCUUCCAUUGCGUAGUAGCUAACACCUCGCAACUGGAGAGCGGCGCGGCCAUGCCGUAAAACACCCAACUUCUGAA